AGAGUUUGAUCAUGGCUCAGGAUGAACGCUGGCGGCGUGCCUAACACAUGCAAGUCGAACGUGAAGCCCGAUGCUUGCAUUGGGUGGAAAGUGGCGGACGGGUGAGUAACACGUUGGUGACCUGCCUCGAGGUGGGGGAUAACCGUGGGAAACCAUGGCUAAUACCCCAGAUGUUAAGAAGUUUAGACGCUCUUAACUAAAGUUCCGACGCCUCGGGAGGGGCCUGCGGGCUAUCAGCUUGUUGGUGGGGUAAUGGCCUACCAAGGCUUAGACGGCUAGGGGGCGUGAGAGCGCGACCCCCCACAAUGGGACUGAGACACGGCCCAUACUCCUACGGGAGGCAGCAGUGAGGAAUAUUGCGCAAUGGGGGAAACCCUGACGCAGCAACGCCGCGUGAACGAUGAAGGCCUUCGGGUCGUAAAGUUCUUUUCUGAGGGACGAUAAUGACGGUACCUCAGGAAUAAGUCCCGGCUAACUACGUGCCAGCAGCCGCGGUAAAACGUAGGGGGCGAGCGUUAUCCGGAUUCAUUGGGCGUAAAGCGCGCGUAGGCGGCGCUGAAAGCUGGACGUGAAAGCUCCCGGCUUAACUGGGAGAGGUCGUUCAAAACUACAGUGCUUGAGGUUGAAAGAGGAGAGUGGAAUCCCCGGUGUAGUGGUGGAAUGCGUAGAUAUCGGGAGGAACACCAGUGGCGAAAGCGACUCUCUGGUUCACACCUGACGCUGAGGUGCGAAAGCGUGGGGAGCGAACGGGAUUAGAUACCCCGGUAGUCCACGCCGUAAACGAUGGAUACUAGGUGUAGAGGUUAUUUACCCCUUCUGUGCCGAAGCAAACGCGUAAGAUCCCGCUUGGAAACAUACGCAGGGGGAGCCUUGUGGUUUAAUUCGAUGAUACGGGAAGAACCUUACCUGGGCUUGACAUAUACGUAGUAGUGCGAAAGUGGAACGAUCCUUCGGGAAGCGUAUACAGGUGCUGCAUGGCUGUCGUCAGCUCGUGUCGUGAGAUGUUGGGUUAAGUCCCGCAACGAGCGCAACCCUCGUCGCUAGUUACAAGUGUCUAGCGAGACUGCCGGUAUCAAACCGGAGGAAGGUGGGGAUGACGUCAAGUCAGCAUGGUCUUUAUGUCCAGGGCUACACACACGCUACAAUGGUCGGUACAAUAGGUUGCCACACCGCGAGGUGGAGCUAAUCCUCAAAGCCGACCUCAGUUCGGAUUGCAGUCUGCAACUCGACUGCAUGAAGUUGGAGUUGCUAGUAACCGCGCGUCAGCAUAGUGCGGUGAAUGCGUUCCCGGGCCUUGUACACACCGCCCGUCACAUCAUGGAAGUCGGUAACACCUGAAGUUGGUGACCUAACCGAAAGGGAGGAACUGCCUAAGGUGGGACUGAUGACUGGGAUGAAGUCGUAACAAGGUAACC
rnacentral:rRNA from 1 species